GAUGAACGCUGGCGGCGUGCCUAAUACAUGCAAGUCGAGCGAAUGGAUUAAGAGCUUGCUCUUAUGAAGUUAGCGGCGGACGGGUGAGUAACACGUGGGUAACCUGCCCAUAAGACUGGGAUAACUCCGGGAAACCGGGGCUAAUACCGGAUAACAUUUUGAACCGCAUGGUUCGAAAUUGAAAGGCGGCUUCGGCUGUCACUUAUGGAUGGACCCGCGUCGACUUAGCUAGUUGGUGAGGUAACGGCUCACCAAGGCAACGAUGCGUAGCCGAGCUUGGAGGGUGAUCGGCCACACUGGGACUGAGACACGGCCCAGACUCCUACGGGAGGCAGCAGUAGGGAAUCUUCCGCAAUGGACGAAAGUCUGACGGAGCAACGCCGCGUGAGUGAUGAAGGCUUUCGGGUCGUAAAACUCUGUUGUUAGGGAAGAACAAGUGCUAGUUGAAUAAGCUGGCACCUUGACGGUACCUAACCAGAAAGCCACGGCUAACUACGUGCCAGCCGCCGCCGUAA
rnacentral:rRNA from 1 species